ensembl:lncRNA
CAAGACGCAGAUGUGAACUAGGCUUGCCUGGUUUCUUGUUGAGUUUUGGAAAUGGUAGCUAGUUCAACUGGAAAAUGAAGCAAAUCAUGGCGAAGAAUAAACAAAAAGGCAAAAAGCAGACGAAUGUUUUCCGAGUGACAAACAAACAAGCCAAAAAGAAUAAAGCAAAACCUGUCACUUCAACUCUCAAACACAUAACUGCAGGGAAGAAAGAGAAGACGGAGAGCCUGAAUAAAAUAUUUACAGAAGUCCAAAGGGAUGUCAAUAGUUUAUCGAAAUGCACAGCUCCAAAGCCCAAACAGCCAACACAGGUUGUCUGUAAAGCACCAAAGGAACCUGCAGAUGUGGACAAUGCUGCCCAGAUGUUCUCUCAGCUGUAGUCCAGAAUGGCAACCUGAAUUGAAAACAUGAAUAAAAUACGGACAGUCCAUACUGCCUCAUGAACAUAAAAAUAGACCUUCAAUAACAUCAAAUGUAAUAUGACUGAUAUGGUAAUAUAUGUAAACAUAGUUUCAUUAAGAUGAGUGCAAUAGAUAAAAAAAAAGGGUUUCUGAGAGGUUUACAUGCUGUACAGUUGCAGUUUAUGAAUUCUUAAAUGUAUCUCCUUUCACAAGACUGUCCUGCCAAUGCUAUGUCCUGUAUUCAACAGCACCCAGUAUUGUUUAUUUUUAUUUUGGAUUUUCACAUUAUUAAAGUAUGGGUAAUAUGAAAUAUUGUGUAAUUUAUUGUAAGCUAUGUGGGUGUAUCUGUAAUUUUUUUAAAUUGCUAAUUCUUAUCCUUCUUGCAGACAUAUAGCUCUGUGCAACUUGCUGUAUGUCUUGUUGUCAGUAUGCUAGACACAUCCAGCUGUAACCAGUUGACAUCAGAGGUCAUGCUUUACUGAUGUGCUGCUGAUUGCCUGUCUGUCUGGAUCCAGCCUCCACUUUGGAGCCUGUAUUUAGUCGAUAAGCUUGGGGCUGUCAGAAGACAAGUGUGACUGGCAAAUGCAGCAAACACGAUUACAUUAGCUUUUUAGUUUGUAACAUGCAUUUGUCUGUUAGCUGUUUUUCUGGAAAUAGGUAUUGGUGAAACGAUAUGUAAACAGUACUGUAAAUCGCCCUGGAUAAUAGUAUUUACAAUUAUUUUGAUCUAAAUUUUAGAUUUCUUUAAAUCCUUUGUGGUGACUGUUAAUAACAUUUUCAAGAUUACAAACCUAAAAGUGUUUCAUAUGUCUCAGUGAUUGUGCUCAGUUAGGAUAAUCUGACAGCUGCUGCAUUGGUAAGCAGGCUGGCCUUAGGCAGGUACGUCCUUCUGAGACCCAAAUGGCACAAUUAACUGACAGCGGGGUGCCCUCAUGAUGCCCUGUGUAAAUAUAUUGUGCACGCAACUUAUAUUCACAAAGAUAUUAUAAGCUACCACAUAGGACAAACUUCCACUCAUACAGUGAAGUGCCAUUUAGGCUUCUUUUCCACAGCAGGGCACAUGGUGAAUUUUUACAUUUUACUUGAUAAAAUGGGGGUAUGCUUCAAUUCGUGAUUCAGCCUUGUUCUGGAAUUUCGGUAUCUCCACUUGGGAUUUUAGCUGAACCGUUGAUUGCCAUGUGGUGUGGAAGUGUGAGAAUCAUGGCACCUGUCAGUGGGUGGGAUAUAUUAGGCAGCAAGUGAACAUUCUGUCCUCAAUGUUGAUGUGUUAGAAGCAGGGAAAAUGGGCAAGCGUAAGGAUCUGAGUGACUUUGACAAGGGCCAAAUUGUGAUGGCUGGAAGACUGGGUGGGAGCAUCUCCAAAACUGCAGCCCUUGUGGGGUGUUCCUGGUCAGCAGCGGUCAGUACCUAUCAAAGGUGGUCCAAGGUAGGAAAACUGGGCGGCCAAGGCUCAUUGAUGCACGGGGGGAGAGAAGGCUGGCCCAUGUGGUCCAAUCCAACAGACGAGCUAUUGUAGCUCAAAUUGCUGAAAAAGUUAAUGCUGGUACUGAUAGAAUGGUGUCAGAACACAGUGCAUCCCAGUUUGUUGUGUAUUGGGCAGCAUAGCUGAAGACCAGUCAGGGUGCCCAUGCUGACCAGUCCACUGCUGGAAGCGCCUACAAUGGGCAAGUGAACAUCAGAACUGGACCACAGAAAAUGGGAGAAGAUGACCUGGUCUGAUAAAUCAUGUUUCUUUUUAAAUCACGUGGAUGGCCGGGUGCGUGUGCGUCGCUUAACUGGAGAACACAUGGCACCAGGAUGCACUAUGGGAAGGAGGCAAGCUGGCGGAGGCGGUGUGAUGCUUUGGGCAAUGUUCUUCUGGGAAACCUUGGGUCCUGCCAUUCAUGUGGAUGUUAUUUUGACAUGUACCACCUACCUAACCAUUGUUGCAUAAUGUUAUGGCUGAUCAGCGUAGAUGCGCAUAUUGCCAUACUGUGCAUUAGCAUCUCAAAGGUCAGGUUAAAAGUUACAUGGAAACAGUGCAAAUCCAGUGGUACAGAGUUAGAAUUCAUCAGUAAAAGCAAACUAUUAUAUCACUAAAGUAAAUUAAUUUACAUAUUACAGAAACAAGACAAAACAGACUUAUAAACUCAUCUAACAUAAUUAUAUUAAACAAACAGUAUGCCUGGGAGUUGGUAAUUAAACGGAGUGUCUAUUUGCACCCAGGUGAAUAUAGCCACACGGCAGCUAAUCGGCUAUUUACAACCACCCAAAUAAAUUACGUAAUGAGUAGCAGAUAGCUACGUGCAUCAACGGCUGCGUAACAUAAGUGGAUAGCUACAUACAUCAAAGGCAGCAGACUCCAAAGGAUACUAGUCACACGGCUUUAACAGCUGGCUCACUGCAGUAGGUAGGGCGUCAGUCUUAUAAUCUCAAGGUUGUGAGUUUGAGCCUCACAGAGGGCAUGGCUUUCACAGCAUCUCGUUGUGCUUGUUCAAUGAAAUCAAUGAAAUCUAAUAAAAAUACAAAGUUGAUAUGUGCCUCAGCAGUUGCAGGUGCCAAAGGAGGUUUCAAUUUAAAAAGGUAGGCUACAUUAAACACAAAAUAUAACCUUUUCAACAACAUUGUGUUUUCUCACUGUUUGUAUAAUUAGACUAAAAUUUUCCAGUGUGUUAACUUCUAUGGUUAGCUAUGCCCAACUAAUUGAGCAAAUGUUAGGCGUUAGCCAAAUUUAGCAAAUGUAAGCCAGUAAUAAUGGAGGCAUACAGUAAUUUUGCUAACUAGUAGCGUUAGUGCUAGGUAGCUCUAACUGGCAACACCCGGACACCUGGGUGCAAAUAUCAUCUGCCUUUAAUUCCACCCCAGAUGAAAAUAUUGUUGGCUACAGACACCUGGGUGCAAAUAGCAUCUGCCUUAAUUAAAUUAUUGUUGAUCAAGUAACAUUUUACUGAAGAGUUAUGAAUUCACAUGCACCUGUGCAUCUCACAUAAAUGAUCCAUUGGGUCCAGUACAGGAAUGUAUGAAUAAAUAUGCACUCUGGUAUGUCGCUCUGAAUGAAAUAACCUGAAAAUGACCAAUGUUAAUGGAUGUCCACACGAUGGUGCUAUUAGAAGACUAAGGGUUGAUGGGUUGUGUGAACAAGAACAUGGUGUGUGAGUGUUGUGUGUGUGUAAGACAGACAGUGAGAUACUGAAUCUAAAUGAUGGUCCAUUUGCAGUGUGUCACUCUUACGGCACAAGUGGUUUUUUUACUUUGACAAGCUAACACCCAGUGGUCACAUUUCCUGCCCUCCCCAUUGAGAAUGUACAGUGGAUAUAAAGAGUCUACACAGCCCUGUUAAUAUGCCAGGUUCUUGUGAUGUAAAAGAAUGAGAUAAAGAUAAAUCAUAUAACUUUUUCCACCUUUAAUGUGACCUAUAACGUGAACAAUUCAAUUGAAAAACAAACAAAUCUUUGAGGAGGAAAAAUAAAAAACACAAUAACCUGGUUGCAUAAGUGUGCAUACACCCUUAAACUGAUACUUUGUUGAAGCACCUUUUGAUUUUAUUACAGCACUCAGUCUUUUUGGGUAGGAGUCUAUUAGCAUGGCACAUCUUGACGUGGCAAUAUUUGCCAACUCUUCUUUGCAAAAGCACUCCAAGUCUGUCAGAUUGCGAGGACAUCCCCUGUGAAAAUGCCAGGUUUUUGUGAUGCAAAAGAAUGAGACAAAAAUAAAUCAUGUCAGAACUUUUUCCACUUUUAAUGUGACCUAUAAUGUGAACAAUUCAAUAUAAAAACGAACUGAAAUCUUCGAGGGGGAAACAAAUUAAAACCUUAACCUAUUUGCAUAAGUGUCCUCACCCUCUUAUAACUGGGACUGUGUUCAAAAUUAACCAAUCACAUUCAAACUCAUGUUGAAUAGAAGUCAUUACACACCAGCCAUCAUUUAAAGUGAUGUAACAUGUAAUGUUACAUCACUUUAAAUGUGAUGUAACUUUAUUCAUCAAAAAUAAAGUUCAGCUGUUCUUUUUUCCUGACAUUUUCCUGACAUUUUCUUAGUUGCAUCUCAGAGCAAAAGCCAUGGUCCACAGAGAGCUUCCAAAGCAUCAGAGGGAUCUCAUUGUUCGUGAUGGUAUGGGGGUACAUGGGUGACUUGCACAUCCAUGAAAGCACUGUUAAUGCUGUACAAUAUUUACAGGUUUUGGAGCGACAUAUGCUGCCAUGUCUUUUUCAGAAGGCCUUGCUUAAUUCAGCAAGACAAUUGCUGACAAUUGCUGAAAUUCGGCACGUAUUACAACAGCAUGGCUCUGUCGUAAAAGAGUCCUAAAGAGGUGCUAAACUGGCCUGCCUGUAGUCCAGACCUGUUACCCACUGAAUACAUUUGGUGCAUAAUGAAACAAAAAAUACAACAAAGGAGACCUUAAAAUGUUGAGCGGCUGAAAUGCUAUAUCAAGCAAGAAUGGGAAUAAAUUUCACUUUCCAAACUACAGCAAUUGGUCUCCUCAGUUCCUGGCAACAAAUUCUAAAUGGGCAUGUAUUUUUCCCAAAAUAAUAACAUCUUGC